ensembl:lncRNA
CACACUACUUCCUGCUUCCAGAGUUGCUCAUAGCUUCUUAGGAGAAAAACUGAGCCAUUCUGGGAAUGGCUGUGUCUGGAUACACACGGGGCACUGGGGGGUGGGGUGGGUAGGGCGGGGCAGGGAAUGUAAAAAAAAAAAAAAAAAGCACAGGAACUGUGUGAAGCUCUCCUUGGACCCUCCUGGAAGAAAGGGUCACAUUCCAUUCCUGGGCCUUCAGGAAGCGAUCUUUACCCGCUUUCUUUCCUUGAGAGUAGGCCUGUGGUGGGGCCUAGUGCUGGGUGCAUGAAGGUAACAACUACCGUUUGUGCUUACUCAUGGUCCCGCCCUGGCAAAGCUGGAGUCUCCUAGGGGUGGGGAAUGAGGUCUGGCCAGGGAGAAUGCCUCUAGCUCAGCAGCAGGCAGCCCCAGGCAUCCAGCAGGAAGAGGCAGGCUCCAAGAAGCAGAGGGCUGGGUGGAGGAGAUGCCACGGAUUCGCAAUAGGAACGGACAGCGGGGGAGGAAGACUCUGACAAGCGCGAGAUUCUUGUGGGCUUUUUAAUUUAAUUUUUAAAAGAAACAAGAACAGUUGCAAUUAUAAUUGUGGACCUUUAGUGACGGUGUCUCCCAGCAACAAGCCAGAUCGCGCUGCUCUAUCCCACCCUCUUCCUGGGCAGAACGAACCGGAAGGUGUUGCAACUCCAUCCCAGCCCUGGCCUGGCCCAUCCGUGUCCUCUUCUCGACUCCAAGCCCCCUCAUCCUGUGACUGUCCCCUGAGCCCCGCUCUCCUUGGAGUCAUCUCAGCCUCCCUGAGGCUCUCAGGGUCCUGGUUCCAUCAGAGCUAGGCCUCCUCCUGAGUUCCUGCCCUCCGUAGAGUGGCUGUGCCCUGGGAGGAAGGGAGGUGCCAACAGAAGGGGGAAGGUGGGGAGCCCCAGGGCAGGGUGGCUGGAGGUAAGCAAUGCCUGGACACCUGCCAGAAUCAACAGGCCACCCCUCUCCCAGGCACAAAGGGUUCUCUGUGAGGACACUCCCAGACCUAUAUGGAAUCCUGGAGGUUCAUAUUUCUUAACAUGAAAGAUGCCCAUUCCCAGCCAGGCCUGGGUGUGGCCUGUGGUUUGAAUCCUGGUGGGCGGGGCUUGUGGACUCCCAGUGACCCAUCUGGAUGGUGUCUGUCCUUGCUAAGAGCUGGUCUUCCCAGGAAAAUAGAACUGCAAGAGAAGCUGUCUGCUGGCCUCUGGACUGGGCCUUCUAGUGUGGACUCCUCCCCCCCCACACACACACAUCUCCCCAGUGUCUGUCUGUCUGUCUGUCUGUCUGUCUCUGUCUGCUCUCAUAUGAAUGCGUGUGCAUGAGAGAAGAUCUCUAGUCAGAUUACACCUAGCCUUCUCUUCUACUUCAAGCCAUUGUCACAGAGAAGCAACAAUAAACCAGGACUCAAAGAAAGUGGGCUGUGAGUGUGCAGUAAGAACCUGUGUUCAGGGCCGGGCGUUGGUGGUGGCGCACGCCUUUAGUCCCAGCACUCAGGAGGCAGAGCCAGGCCGAUCUCUGUGAAUUCGAGGCCAGCCUGGUCUCCAGAGCGAGUUCCAGGGCAGCCUCCAAAGCCACAGAGAAACCCUGUCUCGAAAAACAAACAACCAAACAAGAAGAACCUAUGUUCAUGGGAUGCAUCUCUCCACAAUGACUAAGGUUCCUCUGGGUACCCGUGGGGAUGGACUGUCCAGGAGGUUGCUCAAUCUUCUGUGGACCUUGUGGGCUUUUUGUUUUCAAGUGAAAGAGUUGGAACAAGGUAUCUCAGGUCUCUUCAGUUCUCAGCCAGGCCUCAAAGCCAUAAGAAUGGACAGCCAACCACCAAAACCUGUUGCCACACAACUCCGACGCUUGGCUUCAUUGCUUCUGACCCUGCAACAUAUACCUUGGGAGUGGCUGGUUAUAUAGUUCCUCUCCGGACUGCAAAUGAAGCAGGGUCUUUGACCAUGUGGCCUCUGUCUACCCUGAAUGUUUGGCUGUCUGAACUACAAAGGAGACAUUUGGUUAUUGAAUAAAUCUUUCUUUUUAAAAAAUUUUAUAGGUGUAUGGGUGUUUUCCCUGCAUGUAUGUCUCUACCAUGUGUGUGCCUGGUGUCUGCAGAUACCAGAAGAGGGCAUCAGAUCCACAGGCCCUGGAGUUACAGACAGUUGUAAAACUGCCAUGUGGAUGCCAGGAAUUGAAUCCGAGGCCUCUGGGCUUUUAAUGGCUGAGCCAUUGCUGCAGCCCCAGUACAGACCUUUUUUGGGCACCAACUCUGGGCCAGUAAAUGAAACCUUCAGUAGCCAACUCUCUGUGGCUUACACUGGAAAAGAUACAAUCCCUGCCCUGUACUGGCUUGCUACAGCACCCAUCACAGGUCCUCAGUCUGGGUGGCCUACAGAAAAGAAACACUGUUGGGCAGUUCUGUGGGCAGUUGUCUGCGGGGUCAUUUGCUCCUGACUGUGUGGGAGGAUCUAUCUGUUCAAUGCCUUUCUGGGAGCUCCUGGUCCCUCAGGGUAUGGUGUUCCUUGGCUUGUGGGAGAAUCACCCAGGUCCUCUGUUCCAGCUUCACAAGACUGUCUUCCUGCCUGUGUGUUUGACUCUGCCUGAAUUUAUUGUUG